rnacentral:lncRNA from 1 species
CAGCAUCCCAUCAUGACAUUCGCUUAAUUGUGUCUCAUCUGUAUUAGUGAUUCCAGUUUGUUGACGAAAUAUCGUCUUCUGCUACCUCUACGUUGUGAUUGCCAUUGAAGCAGCAUAGGAAUGUGACAGCUUUGUCUGGGUCUGGGCUUAAUGCCCUACUAGGUAGAAUCCAGAAUCCUCUUAGAAAAUUUCGUCUGCUCCUAAGUAACACAAUACACCUCUUAAUUCUGUUACUUCCACAAAUCAAAACAAAUUUAGAUUAGAAUUUCGAGAAAUUUCGGCUGACGUUUAGGUGCUUGUGACAACAGAGAUCAAAUGGGUCAAUCCAAUAAUUAAAUCUUCAAGAUAUUGAUGCCUUCCCCAGAUCCGAUUCUUUGCUGCUAUCUCUUUUGCUGACAACAGUAAAAUAAUGCUUCAACUCAAGAGGUUGUGGUGACUGCCACUUAGUUCUAAUAUAGGACAAUGUGACAUUGAUAAAUUUGAGGUUAAUCCCUCAACACUGUUAGAGUUGUUUGGAAACUGAAGAGAAGAGAGAUUGCUGGAACUCAAGACUGAUAAUUUGUUAGAUAUGUAGAUUGUAGAUAAAUCACAAGUGCAUAUUUGUUGGAUGAAUUUGUCUCAGUUUCUCUGAUUUCAAUUUCGGAAUCAAAGAACCAAAACACCGUUGAUACUUGUGUAGAGCUAUCGAUUGUUCGAAAUGUAUUCUUUUUUAGGGGGGAGGGAGGGUUGAACUGUACAACAGUAAAAUUUCUUGUGUCACACAUAAAAGGUGAAAAAAAUGAAA